CCUGAAGGACAGAAAGACAAGACGAGUCAGUUUGCUGAAUGUUCUAUGUGACUUGCAGGAUAAAAACAUUCUACGGCACCUAAUUAUAUAAAGAUCUCCACGGACCAGAUUAGAGAGCCAUGGGUCCUAGUCUCACUGUCUCUCUGUAGCCUUGGACAAGGAAACUGAGGCCCAUAGAGAGGAGAAUGGGGACAACUUUUGACGCUAAUGCUGUUCCACCGGACCUUGGUGUGGAGGAGGAGGCUGAUGAGAGAGAAACCAAAGCAGUUUGAUUCUGGUUCCUGGCUCCACAGAAGAAGUCUUAACCUUUAAGCCAGAAGUUCUCAGUUAGGUUCAUGGAUUUUUAGGCAAUCUAAGGGUGAGCUCUGCGGGCGCAUAAGCUCUUGGCUGCUGCAAUUGUCUGUAACACUGCGAAUUGUGGGGUUUUGUUCCCUCCUUAUGAAAGGGUCCAUAGGUCCCAUCAGAUUCUCAUGGGGCUAUGUGACCUUGGAUAUAUUUUAUAAAGGACAAAGACCCUCUGUUCUCUCAAGCACGUGUGUGCAAACCUCAGGCUGAAAUUAUGCCAAACUACAGCUACAGGGAGAAUUCAAAAGAAACGGCGGAAAGUGGGGUGCAGAGGAGCCUAGAGCAGCCUGAGUCUGCAGGGGUUAUGGCCCUGGAUUUUCGAAGAGGAUCCUGGGAACACGUCUCUGUCCAUCAAUCCCAGAACCAGGGCCAGGGCCAGUGUCUCACACAGCUGGGUGUUCAGCACAUCCGUGAAUGAGUGAAUUAAUGUGAGGCUCAAAACGGUAUCUCCUAUUUCCUUGAUUCUAAGUCACACUCUGUUGUCACAUGUUAACAUUUCUAAAGUCAGACCAAAUUUUGCUACCUUAAGUGUACGCAUUUUUGUGAUGCGUCUUCAUUCCCUUACCCCAAAUCAGUAAAUUGAUGGCCCUUAAAUAGGCACUUAAACUGAUGGCACUUUCAUUAGGAAGGAUGAUGAUGAUGAUGUUGAGGAAGAGGUGGAAGGAGGAUAAGGAGGAGGAAGAAUGGGAGGAGAAGCCCACUUGUCCUGGAUAACCAGGUGACCUCUGCCAUGGGAGGUGUCAAGGUCCAGCCCCGCCCCCCCCCUUGAAUGCCCAGGACGCACCCAUGUAGGUACCUGGGUUGUUCCGAAUGGCUUCCUUCAGCUCCCUCUUCUCCUGCCUCAGUGCCAUCAGCUCUGUCCGGAUUGUCUCCUUCUCUUUUUCCAGCCUCUCUUUUUCUACCAGGUACCUCCGGGCAUCUUCCUCAGCUCGGUUCUUACCGUACUUGUAUUGAUUGGCACCUGCAGAGAUAGAAGACAGGAAAAGGCCCCCGUUCCUGACCUCUGCUCUUGUAGGGAUUGCAGUGGUCCCCCAGUGAUGCAUGCAAAAAUCAAUUCUUGUCACAAUGGCCCUGAUCACAAAUAAAGCAUGGAGGGCAGAGAAGGGGACCCAUACUUCCCUCAACUUGCCAGAUACACAAUGGCAUCCCAGAGGAGUUUUCUCCCAGACUUUUGGAUUCGAUAGACUGGUAAAUAAAAAUAAAUGGGUAGACCAGCAAAAUGGUGUCAGUGUUGUAUCAGAUAAGGACCUUAAAGUCCCCAACCACCAUCUGUUAUUCCCAAUAUUUUAUAAAACAAAUAGUACCUCAACAUCUCCAGAGUUGGAAGGACACAAACACAGAGGAAAACAGUCAUUUACACUGAACAGAUUGAGCAACCUCACAAGAGACCCCAAGCCAGAACUGCCUAAUGAAGCUCUUCCAGGAUUCCUGACCCACGGAAACUGUGACGUGACGCAUGUUUACUUUUGGAGCUAGUAAAUUUUGGGUAAUUUAUCACCCAGUAAUCGGUAGCUAAUACAUGACCUUGGGCAAGACCCUUCUCUUUAAUGUUCUUCAGCUGUUUCAUCUGAGACACAUUGUUGGACUAGAUCUGUAGUUUGAGGAGCCCUGUGAUUUCACAGUGACGGCUACCAGGCUGCUGCAGGGGCAAAGCGGGGGCCGGCGGGUGGCCCAGCUCCAACCAGAGCAGCUCCCCUUCUAUAUCCCUGAUAACCUGGACUUAACUAUAACCUUUGAUUUGAAGAACCUGUGUUUUGUUAUCUUUGUUGUUGUUUUUUAACGUUUUGUGAUUUCUUUAGUCUUACAUGCCUAUUUCAGUUUACUUUUCCAUUUUAUUUUCAUUUAUUUAAAAAUUUGU